GAUGAAUGCUGGCGGCGUGCCUAACACAUGCAAGUCGAGCGGCAGCGCGGUCUUCGGACUGGCGGCGAGCGGCGGACGGCUGAGUAACGCGUGGGAACGUACCCCAAAGUGAGGAAUAACUGCCCGAAAGGGUAGCUAAUGCCGCAUAUGGUCUUCGGAUUAAAGGAUUUAUCCGCUUUGGGAACGGCCUGCGUACGAUUAGAUUGUUGGUGAGGUAAUGGCUCACCAAGUCGACGAUCGUUAACUGGUCUGAGAGGAUGAUCAGUCAGACUGGAACUGAGACACGGUCCAGACUCCUACGGGAGGCAGCAGUGAGGAAUCUUCCACAAUGGGCGAAAGCCUGAUGGAGCAACGCCGCGUGCAGGAUGAAGGCCUUCGGGUCGUAAACUGCUUUUAUAAGUGAAGAAUAUGACGGUAACUUAUGAAUAAGCACCGGCUAACUACGUGCCAGCCGCCGCCGUAA
rnacentral:rRNA from 1 species